UACGGAGGGGGCUAGCGUUGUUCGGAAUUACUGGGCGUAAAGCGCACGUAGGCGGCUUUGCAAGUUAGAGGUGAAAGCCCGGGGCUCAACUCCGGAAUUGCCUUUAAAACUGCAUCGCUAGAAUUGUGGAGAGGUAAGUGGAAUUCCGAGUGUAGAGGUGAAAUUCGUAGAUAUUCGGAAGAACACCAGUGGCGAAGGCGACUUACUGGAUCAUGACUGACGCUGAGGCUCGAAAGCGUGGGGAGCAAACAGG
rnacentral:rRNA from 1 species